rnacentral:tRNA from 1 species
CGUUAGCUCAACUGGAUAGAGCGUUUGACUACGGAUCAAAAGGUUGUGGGUUCGAUUCCUGUACG